CUUAUGGGUGAUAAGCUAGUUUUUUUAGUAAAUUAUAUCGAAGUCGAAGAGCUCUGUCGAAGUUGAAGAAUUUAAUCGAAAUAUGUUAGUAUGUUAUUUAAGUUAGCAUGCCGAAUUGUGUCAGUUUGAUGGGUCAAUUAUUUAGUAUAUUAGUUGAAAGUUAGGGUUUAGUUUUCUUAUAAAUAACAUACUAGUCAUCAAUCCUUGAUAAUCCUAAUCAAAAAGAGAAAGUGGUGUGAUUGAAAUUCAAUUGUAAACAUUGUUCCUUAAUGUGUAAUUGAAUCAAAAAUCCAGUUUUUAUACCGCUUU
rnacentral:lncRNA from 1 species